CAGGAGCCCAGAGAUGAUCAAAAAUUGAGAGCAGAAGAAAUUUGAGGCUGACCAGGAUCCUGAAGUGAGGAGCAGUCCCUUUCCCAUUUAACAGCAUUCAUGAGCAGAAAAUGGGGAAGCAGAAAUGCUGAGACAGUUCAGAAGAAACAUCACCAGAAGCCACAGCAACAGCAAAGGAAGCUUAUAUGGAAGUAUUUUUGAUUUUCUCCCUUCUUUCCCCUACCCCCUGGCCCCUGCUGACUCUAACAUAACUAACCAUCC